GGCUCAGGAUGAACGCUAGCGGCAGGCUUAACACAUGCAAGUCGAGGGGCAUCGGGAGUAGCAAUACUGCCGGCGACCGGCGCAAGGGUGCGUAACGCGUGAGCAACAUGCCCGUAUCAGGGGGAUAAUCCAUGGAAACGUGGUCUAAUACCCCAUAGUAAUUAUGUAAGGCAUCUUAUAUAAUUUAAAGCUUUGGUGGAUACGGAUUGGCUCGCGUGACAUUAGCUGGAUGGUAAGGUAACGGCUUACCAUGGCUACGAUGUCUAGGGGUUCUGAGAGGAACGGUCCCCCACACUGGAACUGAGACACGGUCCAGACUCCUACGGGAGGCAGCAGUGAGGAAUAUUGGACAAUGGAUGGAAAUCUGAUCCAGCCAUGCCGCGUGCAAAGGAAGACCGGCCCUAGUGGGUUAGUAAACUGUCUUUUGUAGUGGGAGCAAUAAGGGCUACGUGUAGUCCGAUGAGAGUACCAUACGAAUAAGCACCGGCUAACUCCGUGCCAGCAGCGGC
rnacentral:rRNA from 1 species